AUGCUCCAUACUAGUAUAAAAAGCGUACUGUAGCCUAGCCGAUGACGCGUCAUGAACAUGUUUUUAAUUUGCAUCGAACAUGUCGACAGUGGUGUUUGAAAGCAUGAUUUUGACAUCAAACUAGGACUUUGGAGGGCGUAGUAAAAAGUAUCUGAUGCCUAAGGAACCGGGCCCUACACUACACAAUCACCAUAGACGUAGCUGUAGCUCCGGAAGAGGGGAACCAGCCGUGUCGGUAUUGGUACAGCGAUGGCUAGUAAAACUUAGGGGGGAAAAUAACCAGCUUUUUUUCGCAAAGGUUUCCAAAAAUCAGCACUCUAACCCACAAGAUCUACUGGAAACUGAUGCACACCAACAGAUACCUCCACAGCAGUUAUUUUCUUCACACCAAGAUCAAGGCUUUAGUCAAUUGGCCCCUUGCCCACAGAGCAUACAACAUCUGCAACAAGGAAAUCCAUCACAUCACAUCACAGCAUUGCAAUGCAACGCAACAGACACAAGCAAAGUGUAGAUGCAAGAUGAUCCCAGAUCCAUCCCUAACCAAGGUCAGCUAGUUAGGGCCACUAGUUCAAUUUCCCAUCCCUACUAAUCAGGCAGAAUUUCCUACCACAUUCAAAUCAUUCACAAGCAUGGCAUUCAGGUUUUUCAUACAGCACCCCUAAAGACCCACAAACCUGCUGCAAUUGCACAAGGAUCAGCAAGACCCGUGUGCAGACUAGGAGUCCUCUCCACAGUCAAGCACUCCCACACUGAAUUCCACCAUAUCAACCGGCACCACUGAGGCUGAGUUCAUCAUCAGGCACACUGCAUCAGAGAGGCCAUCAAAAUCAAUCUUGAAGUUUUUUCCAUCAGCGACACCUGGCGCCCCAUCCUCUCUAGACAGUUUCUCUUAUACCCAAGGACAAGUUGGUUUCCCUGCCUUAUUCAGUGUAUUACUAUUAGGUCGCCUACAUGUGCAUGUACAUGUACUGGUAUACUCUAGAACAACUUACUUUCCCACCCUACAUGAAAGCCAUUUGAUGGCUCUUCUAAACCUUGGCAACCUUCUUCAUCACUUCCUUCCACCACACUAUCGCACCUGACUGAUCAUCUAGCAUGCCCUGCCCCAGCUUGUUUUCCAGAGUUGCAUCAUUUUGACGUCUUACAUAACUGCCCUUCACCCAGGGAAUCCCUCAGUCCCCCGACGCUGAGUAAUGCAUUUUCCCUGGUCCUUUUCAGAACCUCACAAAACUCACGAGAGAUUUUUCACAUGAUUCAAUUUAGGAAAUUCACUCAUAUUGAAAUACAGUAUUUGCUACACAUAACAUUUGCAAGAAUUGAAAUUAUUGCAAGCUUUUAAGAAACGGUGACAUUCUAAAAUUAUUUUAAUGCUCAAAGAAAAUUGUUUAAACACAUUGUAUUUUCAUGUACAUUAGUCCAAAAUAUCAUCAUAUUUUAUAUCAUCUUAUUCAUACAGAAUUUGACUGGCCAACUAUGAGAUGGAUUUAUUUUAAUAUUUUUGUCCAUAUUUUUUUCCUUCAAAAAUGUACUUUGCACACGUACCAUUUUGGUGGAAUUUUGGUCAGUUUUGAAGUUCAAAUCUUAUUCAGUGACAUUUAAUCUGUAAUUGUAACAUCAUGACAUCAUAAAAUCUGCAUUUGAAAAUCUUGUAUACAGCAAAGUUCAAGGGUUACAAGAAAAAAUAUAUUUCAAAUAGAAA
rnacentral:lncRNA from 1 species